rnacentral:rRNA from 1 species
UACCGCAUAAUGUAUCCGGAGGGCAUCCUCUGGAUACCAAAGCGUUUAUGUGCUGAAAGAUGGUCUCGCGUCUGAUUAGCUAGAUGCGGGGUAACGGCCCACCAUGGCGACGAUCAGUAGCCGGUCUGAGAGGAUGAACGGCCACAUUGGGACUGAGAUACGGCCCAGACUCCUACGGGAGGCAGCAGUGGGGAAUAUUGGGCAAUGGGGGAAACCCUGACCCAGCAACGCCGCGUGAAGGAAGAAGGCCUUCGGGUUGUAAACUUCUUUUAGUAGGGACGAAGAACGUGACGGUACCUACAGAAAAAGCAACGGCUAACUACGUG